UGCUACAGCCAUGUCACUCCACAGCCCAAGAACGGGAAUUCACUGAAAAUAAGCAGGGCUGAACCUGGUCAGUAUCUGGAUAGGAGAUCACAUGGGAGAACUAGGUUGCUGUUGAAA
rnacentral:rRNA from 1 species